rnacentral:rRNA from 1 species
CGCACCUACGGGGGGCAGCAGUGAGGAAUAUUGGUCAAUGGGCGCAAGCCUGAACCAGCCAAGUCGCGUGAGGGAUGACGGUCCUAUGGAUUGUAAACCUCUUUUGUCGGGGAGCAAGGCCCGCCACGUGUGGCGGGAAGGAGAGUACCCGAAGAAAAAGCAUCGGCUAACUCCGUGCCAGCAGCCGCGGUAAUACGGAGGAUGCGAGCGUUAUCCGGAUUUAUUGGGGGUAAAGGGCGUGUAGGCGGGGAUGCAAGUCAGAUG